UACGUAGGGCGCAAGCGUUAUCCGGAAUUAUUGGGCGUAAAGAGCUCGUAGGCGGUUUGUCGCGUCUGCCGUGAAAGUCCGGGGCUCAACUCCGGAUCUGCGGUGGGUACGGGCAGACUAGAGUGCAGUAGGGGAGACUGGAAUUCCUGGUGUAGCGGUGAAAUGCGCAGAUAUCAGGAGGAACACCGGUGGCGAAGGCGGGGUCUC
rnacentral:rRNA from 1 species